CACGCUCCAAGCUCUGCUUGAUGUUGGACGGCGCGGGAGGUUCUCCUUUUGUGGGGAGGGCACCUGCCCGUCUGGAACGCGUGGGCGUCCGGUCUGUCGAGACACCGCGAGCGUAGCAAGACACACAUCAUAUGCGUCAUUCGCUCGGUCGGGGCUCCAGCUGGACGGUCGUAGCUUGUGUUUCUUGUUGUGUUAAACCACACAGCAAGAGCAGAAACCUUUUUA
rnacentral:misc_RNA from 1 species